UCAAGCGAACAAGUGCAUGUGGUGGAUGCCUUGGCGAUCACAGGCGAUGAAGGACGCGGUAGCCUGCGAAAAGCUACGGGGAGCUGGCAAACGAGCUUUGAUCCGUAGAUGUCCGAAUGGGGAAACCCACUCCGAAUGGAGUAUCCAUGACUGAAUACAUAGGUCAUGUGAAGCGAACGCGGUGAACUGAAACAUCUAAGUAACCGCAGGAAAAGAAAUCAACCGAGAUUCCCAGAGUAGUGGCGAGCGAAAUGGGAUCAGCCUGUACUCUUUAUCUUCAUUGUUAGUCGAAGGCUCUGGAAAGUGCCGCCAUAGCAGGUGAUAGCCCUGUAGACGAAAACAGCGAGGAAGAACUAGGUGUACGACAAGUAGGGCGGGACACGUGAAAUCCUGUCUGAAGAUGGGGGGACCAUCCUCCAAGGCUAAAUACUCGUGAUCGACCGAUAGUGAACCAGUACCGUGAGGGAAAGGCGAAAAGAACCCCGGGAGGGGAGUGAAAUAGAUCCUGAAACCGCAUGCAUACAAACAGUAGGAGCCUCGCAAGGGGUGACUGCGUACCUUUUGUAUAAUGGGUCAGCGACUUACAUUCAGUGGCAAGCUUAACCGAUUAGGGCAGGCGUAGCGAAAGCGAGUCCGAACAGGGCGAUUCAGUCGCUGGGUGUAGACCCGAAACCAGGUGAUCUAUCCAUGGCCAGGAUGAAGGUGCGGUAACACGUACUGGAGGUCCGAACCCACUAACGUUGAAAAGUUAGGGGAUGAGCUGUGGAUAGGGGUGAAAGGCUAAACAAACCUGGAAAUAGCUGGUUCUCUCCGAAAACUAUUUAGGUAGUGCCUCGUGUAUCACCUUCGGGGGUAGAGCACUGUCAUGGUUGUGGGGUCCAUUGCGGAUUACUACGCCAUAGCAAACUCCGAAUACCGAAGAGUGCAAUCACGGGAGACAGACAUCGGGUGCUAACGUCCGGUGUCAAGAGGGAAACAACCCAGACCGCCAGCUAAGGUCCCCAAAUAUUGCUAAGUGGGAAACGAAGUGGGAAGGCUAAAACAGUCAGGAGGUUGGCUUAGAAGCAGCCAUCCUUUAAAGAAAGCGUAAUAGCUCACUGAUCGAGUCGUCCUGCGCGGAAGAUGUAACGGGGCUAAGCAAUAUACCGAAGCUGCGGAUGCACAUUUAUGUGCAUGGUAGGAGAGCGUUCCGUAAGCCUGCGAAGGUGCACUGGAAAGUGUGCUGGAGGUAUCGGAAGUGCGAAUGCUGACAUGAGUAGCGAUAAAGGGGGUGAAAAGCCCCCUCGCCGUAAGCCCAAGGUUUCCUACGCAACGUUCAUCGGCGUAGGGUGAGUCGGCCCCUAAGGCGAGGCAGAAAUGCGUAGCUGAUGGGAAGCAGGUUAAUAUUCCUGCACCAUUGUUAAAUGCGAUGGGGGGACGGAUCGCGGAAGGUUGUCCGGUGUUGGAAGUCCCGGUCCUUGCAUUGGAGAAGGCGCUUAGGCAAAUCCGGGCGCGGAAUUCAAGGGUGCGAGGCCAUUCACUUCGGUGAAGAAGCAAUCGGAAGUGGUUCCAAGAAAAGCCUCUAAGCUUCAGUUUAACAAGACCGUACCGCAAACCGACACAGGUGGGCGAGAUGAGUAUUCUAAGGCGCUUGAGAGAACUCGGGAGAAGGAACUCGGCAAAUUGGUACCGUAACUUCGGGAUAAGGUACGCCCCUGUAGCUUGACUGGCUCGCGCCAGAAGGGUGAAGGGGUUGCAAUAAACUGGUGGCUGCGACUGUUUAAUAAAAACACAGCACUCUGCAAACACGAAAGUGGACGUAUAGGGUGUGACGCUGCCCGGUGCCGGAAGAUUAAAUGAUGGGGUGCAAGCUCUUGAUUGAAGUCCCGGUAAACGGCGGCCGUAACUAUAACGGUCCUAAGGUAGCGAAAUUCCUUGUCGGGUAAGUUCCGACCUGCACGAAUGGCGUAACGAUGGCCACACUGUCUCCUCCCGAGACUCAGCGAAGUUGAAGUGUUUGUGAUGAUGCAAUCUCCCCGCGGCUAGACGGAAAGACCCCAUGAACCUUUACUGUAGCUUUGCAUUGGACUUUGAACCGAUCUGUGUAGGAUAGGUGGGAGGCUAUGAAGCGUGGACGCCAGUCUGCGUGGAGCCGUCCUUGAAAUACCACCCUGGUUUGUUUGAGGUUCUAACCUUGGUCCGUAAUCCGGAUCGGGGACAGUGCAUGGUAGGCAGUUUGACUGGGGCGGUCUCCUCCCAAAGUGUAACGGAGGAGUACGAAGGUACGCUAGGUACGGUCGGAAAUCGUGCUGAUAGUGCAAUGGCAUAAGCGUGCUUAACUGCGAGACCGACAAGUCGAGCAGGUGCGAAAGCAGGUCAUAGUGAUCCGGUGGUUCUGUAUGGAAGGGCCAUCGCUCAACGGAUAAAAGGUACUCUGGGGAUAACAGGCUGAUACCGCCCAAGAGUUCAUAUCGACGGCGGUGUUUGGCACCUCGAUGUCGGCUCAUCUCAUCCUGGGGCUGUAGCCGGUCCCAAGGGUAUGGCUGUUCGCCAUUUAAAGAGGUACGUGAGCUGGGUUUAAAACGUCGUGAGACAGUUUGGUCCCUAUCUGCCGUGGGCGCUGGAUAUUUGAAGGGGGCUGCUCCUAGUACGAGAGGACCGGAGUGGACGAACCUCUGGUGUACCGGUUGUCACGCCAGUGGCAUCGCCGGGUAGCUAUGUUCGGAAGAGAUAACCGCUGAAAGCAUCUAAGCGGGAAACUCGCCUUAAGAUGAGAUAUCCCCGGGGCUUCGAGCCCCUUGAAGGGUCGUUCAAGACCAGGACGUUGAUAGGUCAGGUGUGGAAGCGCAGUAAUGCGUUAAGCUAACUGAUACUAAUUGCCCGUAAGGCUUGAUCCU
rfam:Burkholderia sp. AD24 chromosome II sequence.